rnacentral:rRNA from 1 species
UACGGGGGGGGCAAGCGUUGUUCGGAAUUACUGGGCGUAAAGGGCUCGUAGGCGGCCAACUAAGUCAGACGUGAAAUCCCUCGGCUUAACCGGGGAACUGCGUCUGAUACUGGAUGGCUAGAGAUUGGGAGAGGGAUGCGGAAUUCCAGGUGUAGCGGUGAAAUGCGUAGAUAUCUGGAGGAACACCGGUGGCGAAGGCGGCAUCCUGGACCAACACUGACGCUGAGGA